rnacentral:rRNA from 1 species
GACGAACGCUGGCGGCGUGCUUAACACAUGCAAGUCGAACGGAAAGGCCCUUCGGGGUACUCGAGUGGCGAACGGGUGAGUAACACGUGGGUGAUCUGCCCUGCACUUUGGGAUAAGCCUGGGAAACUGGGUCUAAUACCGAAUAGGACCACGCGCUUCAUGGUGUGUGGUGGAAAGCUUUUGCGGUGUGGGAUGGGCCCGCGGCCUAUCAGCUUGUUGGUGGGGUAAUGGCCUACCAAGGCGACGACUGGUAGCCGGCCUGAGAGGGUGACCGGCCACACUGGGACUGAGAUACGGCCCAGACUCCUACGGGAGGCAGCAGUGGGGAAUAUUGCACAAUGGGCGCAAGCCUGAUGCAGCGACGCCGCGUGAGGGAUGACGGCCUUCGGGUUGGAAACCUCUUUCAAUAGGGACGAAGCGCAAGUGACGGUACCUAUAGAAGAAGCACCGGCCAACUACGUGC